AGUUGUUUAUCUUAACUCGGCAAAGAGAAUGUUUUGAAAGCAUUAAAAAAGAGUUCGACUCUCUUAACAACUU
rnacentral:tRNA from 1 species